GAAUGAACGCUGGCGGCAUGCCUAACACAUGCAAGUCGAACGAAGGCCCGAUUUCGGUUGGGUCCUUAGUGGCGCACGGGUGCGUAACGCGUGGGAAUCUGCCCCUYGGUUCGGAAUAACAGUUAGAAAUGACUGCUAAUACCGGAUGAUGACGUAAGUCCAAAGAUUUAUCGCCGAGGGAUGAGCCCGCGUAGGAUUAGCUAGUUGGUGUGGUAAGAGCGCACCAAGGCGACGAUCCUUAGCUGGUCUGAGAGGAUGAUCAGCCACACUGGGACUGAGACACGGCCCAGACUCCUACGGGAGGCAGCAGUGGGGAAUAUUGGACAAUGGGCGAAAGCCUGAUCCAGCAAUGCCGCGUGAGUGAUGAAGGCCUUAGGGUUGUAAAGCUCUUUUACCCGGGAUGAUAAUGACAGUACCGGGAGAAUAAGCUCCGGCUAACUCCGU
rnacentral:rRNA from 1 species